CAGCCGCCGCGGUAAUACGUAGGUGGCAAGCGUUGUCCGGAAUUAUUGGGCGUAAAGCGCGCGCAGGCGGUUUCUUAAGUCUGAUGUGAAAGCCCCCGGCUUAACCGGGGAGGGUCAUUGGAAACUGGGAGACUUGAGUGCAGGAGAGGGAAGCGGAAUUCCAUGUGUAGCGGUGAAAUGCGUAGAGAUAUGGAGGAACACCAGUGGCGAAGGCGGCUUCCUGGCCUGUAACUGACGCUGAGGCGCGAAAGCGUGGGGAGCAAACAGGAUUAGAUACCCUGGUAGUCCACGCCGUAAACGAUGAGUGCUAAGUGUUAGGGGGUUUCCACCCCUUAGUGCUGCAGCUAACGCAUUAAGCACUCCGCCUGGGGAGUACGGUCGCAAGACUGAAACUUAAAGAAUUGGCGGG
rnacentral:rRNA from 1 species